CUGCACUAGCCGGGGAGCCAGCGGUGCCCUGUAACCCGCAAACCGCUACAGCGGGGGUGAAUUCCCGUCCCAGGGGAGCUGAUGUGUUGUCUGCCCGAAGCAAGUAGUGUUGACAGUCCGGUCUCGCGCAACGGAUGCCCGUGAACCAUGUCAGGCGGGGAACCGAGCAGCAUUAAGCGGGUUUCUCCGUGUGCCGCGAGGCAGCCGGACUCGAGCCAACUACUUCGGUAACGGAUGGAUUAGACUUCUCGAAGAUAGGUGUGCAG
rnacentral:SRP_RNA from 1 species